rnacentral:tRNA from 1 species
GCUUUCAAAGGAUAAUAGUUCAUCCGUUGGUCUUAGGAACCAAAGACUCUUGGCGCAACUCCAAGUGGAAGCU